GAUGAACGCUGGCGGCGUGCCUAAUACAUGCAGGUCGAGCGAACAGACGAGGAGCUUGCUCCUCUGACGUUAGCGGCGGACGGGGGAGUAACACGUGGAUAACCUACCUAUAAGACUGGGAUAACUUCGGGAAACCGGAGCUAAUACCGGAUAAUAUAUUGAACCGCAUGGUUCAAUAGUGAAAGACGGUUUUGCUGUCACUUAUAGAUGGAUCCGCGCCGCAUUAGCUAGUUGGUAAGGUAACGGCUUACCAAGGCAACGAUGCGUAGCCGACCUGAGAGGGUGAUCGGCCACACUGGAACUGAGACACGGUCCAGACUCCUACGGGAGGCAGCAGUAGGGAAUCUUCCGCAAUGGGCGAAAGCCUGACGGAGCAACGCCGCGUGAGUGAUGAAGGUCUUCGGAUCGUAAAACUCUGUUAUUAGGGAAGAACAAAUGUGUAAGUAACUAUGCACGUCUUGACGGUACCUAAUCAGAAAGCCACGGCUAACUACGUG
rnacentral:rRNA from 1 species